rnacentral:rRNA from 1 species
UACGGAGGGGGCUAGCGUUGUUCGGAAUUAUUGGGCGUAAAGGGCGCGUAGGCGGCCCGGUAAGUCAAAGGUGAAAUCCCUCGGCUCAACUGAGGAACUGCCUUUGAAACUGUCGGGCUUGAGGCCGGGAGGGGGUAGCGGAAUUCCCAGUGUAGCGGUGAAAUGCGUAGAUAUUGGGAGGAACACCAGUGGCGAAGGCGGCUACCUGGACCGGUUCUGACGCUGAGGCGCGAAAGCGUGGGUAGCAAACAGG